AUUUGCAAUAAGGACAUAAAGAAACAAAUCUUAAAGUAAUAUAUUCUGAUUAAGAAACAGCUGGAAAUGGCAGCACCUGAAAUGGAAAAAACAAGAGCUGAAAGUUUAUUUUGAAUGAGAGGCAUUGUCCAACUCUGAGACUGAAUGAUGGCAGCUGAGAGUAAGUGCAAGCACAAUCAAUAAUGACUCCAGAGUCAGUGGUAACAGCCCAUUGGUCUGUGCCCUCCUUUUCUUCUUGAGAUGGCGC
rnacentral:lncRNA from 9 species